GGCCGGGUCACGCCACACAUUUUUUUUAAACUUGAUACCCCAAUGAUGAUUGUGGCCAAGUUUAGUUUAAUUUGGCCCAGUAGUUUCAGAGGAGAAGAUUUUUGUAAAAGAUUACUAAGAUUUACGAAAAAAAUGGUUAAAAUUUGACUAUAAAGGGCAAUAACUCCUAAAGGGGUCAACUGACCAUUUCGUUCGUGUUGACGUAUUUGUAAAUCUUACUUUGCUGAACAUUAUUGCUGUUUACAGUUUAUCUCUAUCUAUAAUAAUAUUCAAGAUAAUAACCAAAAACUGCAAAAUUUCCUUAAAAAUACCAAUUCAGGGGCAGCAACCCAACAACAGUUUGUCCGAUUCAUCUGAAAAUUUCAGGACAGAUAGAUCUUGACCUGAUAAACACUUUUAACCAUGUCAGAUUUGCUCUAAAUGCUUUGGUUUUUGAGUUAUAAGCCAAAAACUGCAUUUUACCCCUAUGUUCUAUUUUUAGCCAUGACGGCCAUUUUGGUUGGUUGGCCGGGUCAGGCCACACAUUUUUUAAACUAGAUACCCCAAAGAUGAUUGUGGCCAAGUUUGGUUUAAUUUGGCUCAGUAGUUUCAGAGGAGAAGAUUUUUGUAAAAGAUUUCUAAGAUUUACGAAAAAUGGUUAAAAAUUGACUAUAAAGGUCAAUAACUCCUAAAGGGGUCAACUGACCAUUUUGGUCAUGUUGACUUAUUUGUAAAUCUAACUAUGCUGAACAUUAUUGCUGUUUACAGUUUAUCUCUAUCUAUAAUAAUAUUCAAGAUAAUAACCAAAAACAGCAAAAAAUCCCUAAAAUUACCAAUUCAGGGGCAGCAACCCAAC
rnacentral:lncRNA from 1 species